rnacentral:lncRNA from 1 species
GGAAGGGAGGAAGCGUAGAAGGUGCCGAUGCACUUUUCCUCUCUCCAGCCCUCCUGACUGCUCCAAGAAUUUCAUCGAACAAGACUCAAAGAGGCCCAGCUGCUCUGCGUUUUGAUUCUUCUCCCUCUCUCAGUCCACACUGACCUGGGAGGGGCUUCUCAAACACCACAUUUCCUAGCGUGCUGUGAGAAGAGGACUGUGAGCUAAGAAGGGAGAAAAGCCAAAUAAAAAUACAGACAAACCAACCAACCAAGCACUGACGAGCCAGUAAAGAGGGAACUGUCGGGGAAUCAGGGCUGAGAGAAUCUCUGAUACAGCAGCGGAAAUAGGAAUGGGCCCGCCUUGAUCACCUGGCUGUGCUCAGCUACUGGCUGGAGCUACCUAUGAAAGCCUCAGAGCAAAGACAUUGAUAGAUUUCAGAGCACUGUUGCUGGGCCCCGGUAUGAUUUUGCUUCCUGUCAUUGGAGGUCUGUGAGGCCCAUUCUUAGAGAUACGAGAAAUCGCUUCCCAUUAAAGUCUUAAAA